CGCGGAGUAGAGCAGUGGUAGCUCGUCAGGCUCAUAACCUGAAGGUCGGUGGUUCGAUCCCAUCCUCCGCAACCA
rnacentral:tRNA from 2 species